rnacentral:rRNA from 1 species
CGCGCAAAUUACCCACUCCCAGCACGGGGAGGUGGUGACGAAAAAUACCGAUGCGGGACUCCCAAACGAGGCUCCGUAAUCGGAAUGAGUCGACUAUAAAUCCUUUAACGAGGAUCAAUUGGAGGGCAAGUCUGGUGCCAGCAGCCGCGGUAACUCCAGCUCCAAUAGCGUAUAUUAAAGUUGCUGCAGUUAAAAAGCUCGUAGUUGGAUCUCGGUAUCAUUGUUGCCUGCCGGCCUUGCAAGCGUUGGCCUAUCGAUAUAUGGGUGAGCCUGUGUGUCAUAGUGUCAGCUGUUUCGGGUUGGUGUGGCGGCGGUGACACCUUUCAGCCAUGUCUGUGGUGAAAUAUCCACAGGUGUAGGCGAGUGUCACGCGGCGCCCUGCAACUGUGGGGUUCGUCGGCUUGUCUGCAUGCCUAUGGAUGCCCUUCAAAAGGUGUCUGUGGGCGGAUGGCACGUUUACUUUGAACAAAUUUGAGUGCUCAAACCCAGCCGAUGUUGCCUGAAAAGUUUUGCAUGGAAUAAUGGAAUACGACUUCGGUUCUAUUUCGUUGGUUUUGGUUUUUCCGG